ACAAACGUUUGGAAACUUCUAAGACCUCGGAUCUCCCAGCACCUGAAGCUUGGUGCAUCAGCUGUGAUGGGGGCAUGAAAGCCCAUCGACCUUCUCCUUCCCUUCGUCCUCCUGCAGAUAAUGCCCUAAUUCAAGGAGUGACUCCAGUGGAGGGGACUCCAGGCACCACACUGCAGAUUCCUUUGAAGAAGCUGACAAAUUUAUUCAAAAAUUUACAUGAGAAUGCAAGGGACCCAGAUUAGCUAAACAAUUUUGGAAAGAACAGAGGUGGAGGACUUAUGCUAAUCAACUCCAAAACCAGCUAGAAAGCCACAGCAAAGUACAACAUUGGC